GACGAACGCUGGCGGCAGGCCUAACACAUGCAAGUCGAGCGGCAGCGGGUUCCCGCGAGGGGAUGCCGGCGAGCGGCGGACGGGUGAGGAACACAUCGGAAUCUGCCUGGUUGUGGGGGAUAACGUAGGGAAACUUACGCUAAUACCGCAUGAGACCCUGAGUCGACGGACUGGGGGUGAAAGUGAGGGACCUUCGGGCCUCACGCGACCAGAUGAGCCGAUGUCGGAUUAGCAGUUGGCGGGGUAACGGCCCGCCAAGGCGACGAUCCGUAGCUGGUCUGAGAGGAUGAUCAGCCACACUGGGACUGAGACACGGCCCAGACUCCUACGGGAGGCAGCAGUGGGGAAUAUUGCGCAAUGGGCGUAAGCCUGACGCAGCGACGCCGCGUGGGGGA
rnacentral:rRNA from 1 species